rnacentral:rRNA from 1 species
CACGUAGGGCGCGAGCGUUGUCCGGAAUUAUUGGGCGUAAAGAGCUCGUAGGCGGCCUGUUGCGUCCGCUGUGAAAAGCCCCGGGGCUUAACCCCGGGUCGGCAGUGGAUACGGGCAGGCUAGAGGUAGGUAGGGGAGAAUGGAAUUCCCGGUGUAGCGGUGAAAUGCGCAGAUAUCGGGAGGAACACCGGUGUCGAAGGCGGUUCUCUGGGCCUUACCUGACGCUGAGGAGCGAAAGCGUGGGGAGCGAACAGG